rnacentral:rRNA from 1 species
UACGUAGGGGCAAGCGUUGUCCGGAUUCAUUGGGCGUAAGAGCGUGUAGGCGGCCAGGUAGGUCGGUUGUGAAAACUGGAGGCUCAACCUUCAGAGGUCGACCGAAACCAUCUGGCUAGAGUCCGGGAGAGGAGAGUGGAAUUCCUGGUGUGAGCGGGUGGAAUGCGCAGAUAUCAGGAGGAACACCAAUUGCGAAGGCAGCUCGCUGGGACGUUACUGACACUGAGGCGCGAAAGCGUGGGGAGCGAACAGG